rnacentral:lncRNA from 1 species
UCAUAGAAAAAAAAAUCGACACUCUUCGGUGAUUGUCCUCCGGUAGAAAGAACAAAUUGAAGAAGUUAGUAGGGAAUUCAAACAAAAAUCCCAAAUCAUUUUAGUUGAUCACCAGAUCCCUCAAAUCCCCCAACCCUUCCUCCCUCCCGCCAACGAAGACAAGAAAAAGCAGUGCGGCCACAACUCGCCAGCGCUCUUCGACUGUGACUGCUUCCACUGGGAUUCCUCCCCCAACCACGAGCUCAUCCACCAAGCCAUCGAACUAUCGAAGCCUUUGAGGACCACUUGAACUCUGGCGGCACCCUCAAGAACUCCGUCAAUCUGAAAUUGAAUAACUCUCUUCUAGAUAUUGCAGCUGCAAUAUUCGCGAAGCGUACUCACUUCUUCUCUGCCCGUCAAUAAUUCUACGAGCAAGGGCACCUACGUCGCCCGCCUCUCCAAGCUCGUCGUUGUGCCCUACAUCGCCACCGGCGAUCUCGUCCGCCACGAGCUCUCUUCCUCUGCCCCCCUCUCCUCUCAGGUAUUUCUCUCUCUCUCUAGGGUUGUGAAUUAGAUUAAUUCAGUGCACUCUUAAAAACGAUUUGGGGAUUUUGCUGCCAUGUUUUGUGAACUGUAGUGGCGUUUUGUGAUUUCCAAUUUGGGGAUUUUACUGUUGUGUUUUUUAGCAUCUGUCAGUGGAGUAGGCUGGUCUUGCAACGAGAUGAACAACGCCCUUCUUCUUCUUCUCCAUUCUUUGUUGCCAACGAGAUGAACGGGUCCCUUUUUCUUCUUCUUCAGUUUUUGCAUCAACAAUUCAUUUGAUUUUCAAUUCUGAAACUAGGGUUUUGAGAUUGGAGAAAUGUCUUUACAAGAACGAUG